GAGAGACCAUUGAUAGUCCAUGUUGGACGACUAGGAGUUGAGAAGAGUUUGGAUUUACUCAAAAGGCACUGCUCUUUUAUUUCAAAUGAUAAGUAUUUUCUGCUUUUGCAAUUUAGGAAAUAUUACUUGCAAAAUAUUGACGGAAUAAUGCUUUUUUCAUAAUUAUUAUAAGUUGUAACCAUUGACAUUUGGGAUGUAUGAUUCAACAGUGUCAUGGACCAGAUACCUGAGGCACGAAUUGCUUUUAUUGGAGAUGGACCAUACAGGGAGGAUCUGGAAAAGCUGUUCUCCGGCAUGCCUGUCGUAUUCACAGGGAUGUUAGGAGGUGAAGAGCUCUCUCAAGCAUACGCCAGCGGAGAUGUUUUCGUCAUGCCUUUAGAAUCAGAGACGCUCGGACACAUAAUGUCAUUUUCA